rnacentral:rRNA from 1 species
AUUGAACGCUGGCGGCAGGCCUAACACAUGCAAGUCGAACGAGUGGCGGACGGGUGAGUAAUGUCUGGGAAACUGCCUGAUGGAGGGGGAUAACUACUGGAAACGGUAGCUAAUACCGCAUACCAUCGGAUGUGCCCAGUUGGGAUUAGUUAGUAGGUGGGGUAAAGGCUCACCUAGGCGACGAUCCCUAGCUGGUCUGAGAGGAUGACGAGCAACACUGGAAUGUAGACCCGGUCCAAGCUCGUACGUGGGGCAGCAGUAGGGAAUAUUGCACAAUGGGGGCAAGCCGUCUGCAGCCAUGCCGCGUGUAUGAAGAAGGCUUUCGGGUUGUAAAGUACUUUCAGCGGGGAGGCGUUACCCGCAGAAGAAGCACCGGCUAACUCCGUGCCAGCAGCCGCGGUAAUAC